rnacentral:rRNA from 1 species
UACGACGGGGGCUAGCGUUGCUCGGAAUGACUGGGCGUAAAGGGCGCGUAGGCGGAUGGCACAGUCAGAUGUGAAAUUCCUGGGCUUAACCUGGGGGCUGCAUUUGAUACGUGUGAUCUAGAGUGAGGAAGAGGGUUGUGGAAUUCCCAGUGUAGAGGUGAAAUUCGUAGAUAUUGUGAAGAACACCGGUGGCGAAGGCGGCGACCUGGUCCUUAACUGACGCUGAGGCGCGAAAGCGUGGGGAGCAAACAGG